GUGUGUGUGGGUUCGGUAGAAGGCUGGUUAAACCGUUUGGUUUUCGACCACUACGACCCGGGUUCGAUCCCCGCAUUGGACA
rnacentral:tRNA from 1 species